GAGUUUGAUCCUGGCUCAGAUUGAACGCUGGCGGCGUGCUUAACACAUGCAAGUCGAGCGGUAACAGGUGUAGCAAUACAUGCUGACGGAGCGGCGAACGGGUGAGUAAUGCUUCGGAAUCUGCCCAGUAGUGGGGAAUAACUAACCGAAAGGUUAGCUAAUGCCGCAUACGACCUAUGGGUGAAAGGAGGGGAUCGUAAGACCUUUCGCUUAUUGGAUGAGCCGAAGUCGGAUUAGCUAGUUGGUGAGGUAACGGCUCACCAAGGCGACAAUCCGUAGCUGGUCUGAGAGGACGACCAGCCGACACUGGGACUGAGACACGGCCCAGACUCCUACGGGAGGCAGGCAGUGGGGAAUAUUGGACGAAUGGGGGAAACCCUGAUCCAGCGACGCCGCGUGUGUGAAGAAGGCCUGCGGGUUGUAAAGCAC
rnacentral:rRNA from 1 species